GCUGUCAGACGGUCAGCAGGGUGAUGCAACGGCCCAGGAACGUUGGCCGAGAAACCACGGGAAUACUUCACAUUCCUGCUGGGAGUAGGAAACAACACUCAGAGAUGACUGACUGUUUUUCUCUGGCAAGAAACCCGACGACUGUUCUGCUAAAACAAGCCGCUGACAGACGUGCCCACCUGUCCAUCUGUCACCAGGCUCUCCAUCAGAUUUUGGAAACUGGCUGCAGGGAUUUGCUCCCAUUCAGCCACAAGAGCAUCAGUGAGGUCCAACACUGAUGCUGGAUGACAAGGUUUGGCUCGCAUUAGGCGUUCCAGUUCAUCCCAAAGGUGUUGGAUGGGGCUGAGCUGUCAGGACGCUGUGCAGGCCAGUCAAGUUCUUCCACACCAAACUGGGAAACCCAUUUCUUUAUGGAUCUGGUUUUGCACACGUCGGCAUUGUUAUGAUGAGGAAUGUGUCUUCUCAAAACUACUGACACAGAGUUGGAAGCACAUUGUUAUCGGAAAUAACAUUGUCUGCUGCAGCAUUAAAAACGUCCCCUUCACUGGAAGUAAACGGCCAAAACCAGCAAAAACCAAAAGUACAAAAAAGCAUGUGAACACUUUUGGUCUGUCCAUAGACUUUUGACAGUGUAGCAUUUUUGGACCACACUUUUUUUUGGUUACAGAUAAAGACACAAAGAGACUUCGGCUAGUGA